rnacentral:tRNA from 1 species
GAGAAAUAGCUGAGCUAAUACAUGGCUUCUAACCACGUAAAGAGAGGUUUAACUCCUUUCAUUUCUCUC